UUAGCUAGUUGGUGAGGUAACGGCUCACCAAGGCGACGAUCAGUAGCUGGUCUGAGAGGAUGAUCAGCCACAUUGGGACUGAGACACGGCCCAAACUCCUACGGGAGGCAGCAGUGGGGAAUAUUGGACAAUGGGCGCAAGCCUGAUCCAGCCAUGCCGCGUGAGUGAUGAAGGCCCUAGGGUUGUAAAGCUCUUUUGUGCGGGAAGAUAAUGACGGUACCGCAAGAAUAAGCCCCGGCUAACUUCGUGCCAGCAGCCGCGGUAAUACGAAGGGGGCUAGCGUUGCUCGGAAUCACUGGGCGUAAAGGGUGCGUAGGCGGGUCUUUAAGUCAGGGGUGAAAUCCUGGAGCUCAACUCCAGAACUGCCUUUGAUACUGAGGAUCUUGAGUUCGGGAGAGGUGAGUGGAACUGCGAGUGUAGAGGUGAAAUUCGUAGAUAUUCGCAAGAACACCAGUGGCGAAGGCGGCUCACUGGCCCGAUACUGACGCUGAGGCACGAAAGCGUGGGGAGCAAGCAGGAUUAGAUACCCUGGUAGUCCACGCCGUAAACGAUGAAUGCCAGCCGUUAGUGGGUUUACUCACUAGUGGCGCAGCUAACGCUUUAAGCAUUCCGCCUGGGGAGUACGGUCGCAAGAUUAAAACUCAAAGGAA
rnacentral:rRNA from 1 species